rnacentral:rRNA from 1 species
CAAUAGCGUAUAUUAAAGUUGUUGCAGUUAAAAAGCUCGUAGUUGGAUUUGUGGUGUACUUCGGCGGCCCGUCACUAUGUGAUGGAGCUUGCUGAAGUCGCCAUCCUUGGGUGGAUCCUGUGUGGCAUUAAGUUGUCGUGCAGGGGAUGCCCAUCGUUUACUGUGAGAAAAUUAGAGUGUUCAAAGCAGGCUUAUGCCGUUGAAUAUGUUAGCAUGGAAUAAUAAGAUAGGACCUUGGUACUAUUUUGUUGGUUUGCGCACCAAGGUAAUGAUUAAUAGGGACAGUUGGGGGUAUUCGUAUUUCAUUGUCAGAGGUGAAAUUCUUGGAUUUUUGAAAGACGAACUACUGCGAAAGCAUUUACCAAGGAUGUUUNCAUUA